rnacentral:rRNA from 1 species
GACAGAGGUGGCAAGCGUUGUUCGGAAUUACUGGGCUUAAAGGGCGCGUAGGCGGUAUGGCAAGUCCGAGGUGGAAUCUCGGGGCUCAACCCCGAAAUUGCCUUGGAAACUGCCGUACUUGAGUCAGUGAGAGGAGGGCGGAAUUCCUGGUGUAGCAGUGAAAUGCGUAGAUAUCAGGAGGAAGGCCGGUGGCGAAGGCGGCCCUCUGGCGCUUGACUGACGCUGAGGCGCGAAAGCGUGGGUAG